rnacentral:rRNA from 1 species
UACGAAGGGGGCUAGCGUUGUUCGGAUUUACUGGGCGUAAAGCGCACGUAGGCGGAUCGAUCAGUCAGGGGUGAAAUCCCAGAGCUCAACUCUGGAACUGCCUUUGAUACUGUCGAUCUGGAGUAUGGAAGAGGUGAGUGGAAUUCCGAGUGUAGAGGUGAAAUUCGUAGAUAUUCGGAGGAACACCCGUGGCGAAGGCGGCUCUCUGGGACGGUACUGACGCUGAGACGCGAAAGCGUGGGGAGCGAACAGG